AAAAACAGACCAAUAAGAACCGGGUGCAGUCAGGCCCCCGCACACCCAACCCCUAUGCCUCGGACAACAGCAGCCUCAUGUUUCCCAUCCUGGUGGCCUUCGGAGUCUUCAUUCCAACCCUCUUCUGCCUCUGCCGGUUGGCAGGAUGGGUAUGCUUUGGGCUUUCUCCUUCUGUGGCCCCGGAGGAAGGAGAGACUGAGGCAAGGCAAAGUGAUAGUACACUGAAGCAGAACCGGAAACACCCAGGAACUGUUCAGAAAUCUCAGAAGAAAUCUGCUUCUCUUCGAUGGAAAGAUAUAAUUAACGAUCAAAGAGCUCUAAGAAAAUUGCAAAGAAGCCUUAAUGUUCAAGCUUUAGAAAGAUCAGAGCAAUUUUUCUCUUUCAGUCCAAACUAAGACUCUCUGUAUUUAAAUCUCUCUGGGGCAAGAGGGCUAGAUUUCCUCAUUUUGUUAUGAGACUAGAUUGGUACCAGUAGAUCAGCUGCCUAGUGAGGGCAGGUUUCUUCUUUGCAUCUGUGUGGCUUGCUUCCAGUCUGGCCUGUCCUUUCCAGCUGCCUUUUGUCUAGCCUGCUAUGGGGGGCCAGAUUAUCUUGAUAAGAGCAGGUGACUUGGGGACUA
rnacentral:sRNA from 1 species